CCUACAUGAGUUGCAUAAUAGAGAUACAAGCAAGAAUCAUUAAGUUCUAUGAAAAACAUAAGCAUUGACGAGGCACUCAUUACUAUGAUUUGCAUGAAACUUAUGCCAAGAAUUUACUUAACGUGAUUGUGACUAGCAACCUUCACUACUUGUGAAUAUAAGUUCAUAACGAUUAGGUGAAACUCCCUUAUAUUCUAGCGUUAAAUUCAUGCAUGAAAAUUAAGCGUGCACUCUCAACCAACAUACACAAAUCAUUUUUUUAUACGAUCGGAUAAGUAAAUUGAAUUCACAACUUAUGAAUCACAACUGGAUGUAAUCAAAUCAUAUUGCAAGUAUGAACAUGGUUUCGAAUCACCCCCUAACUAAGAGGGGUUUAGUUGCUCAUACUCACAAAGCAAAGAUACAUAAAAUUAGACAUUAAAAUCAAAGGAAAGAAAACACCUAAAAUGCUCC
rnacentral:lncRNA from 1 species